rnacentral:rRNA from 1 species
GACGAACGCUGGCGGCAUGCCUAAUACAUGCAAGUCGAGCGAACAGAUGAAGUGCUUGCACUUCUGACGUUAGCGGCGAACGGGUGAGUAACACGUAAGGAAUCUACCUAUAAGCGGGGGAUAACAUUCGGAAACGGGUGCUAAUACCGCAUCAUAUCUUCUUCCGCAUGGAAGAAGAUUGAAUGACGACUCUGCUGUCACUCAUAGAUUAUCUUGCGGUGCAUUAGUUAGUUGGUGGGGUAAUGGCCUACCAAGACGAUGAUGCAUAGCCGACCGGAGAGGGGGAUCGGCCACAUUGGGACUGAGACACGGCCCAAACUCCUACGGGAGGCAGCAGUAGGGAAUCUUCCGCAAUGGGCGAAAGCCUGACGGAGCAAUGCCGCGUGAGUGAAGAAGGCCUUCGGGUCGUAAAACUCUGUUAUAAGAGAAGAACAAAUUGUAGAGUAACUGCUACAGUCUUGACGGUAUCUUAUCAGAAAGCCACGGCUAACUACGUGCCAGCAGCCGCAGUAA